GACGAACGCUGGCGGCGUGCUUAACACAUGCAAGUCGAACGAUGAAGCUAGAGCUUGCUCUGGUGAAUUAGUGGCGAACGGGUGAGUAACACGUGAGUAACCUGCCCCGAACUCUGGGAUAACUGCUGGAAACGGUAGCUAAUACUGGAUACGACCUACGAAGGCAUCUUCUGUAGGUGGAAAGAAUUUCGGUUCGGGAUGGACUCGCGGCCUAUCAGCUUGUUGGUGAGGUAAUGGCUCACCAAGGCGACGACGGGUAGCCGGCCGGAGAGGGGAAACGGACACACUGGGACUGAGACACGGCCCAGACGCCUACGGGGGGCAGCAGUGGGGAAUAUUGCACAAUGGGCGCAAGCCUGAUGCAGCAACGCCGCGUGAGGGAUGACGGCCUUCGGGUUGGAAACCUCUUUUAGUAGGGAAGAAGCGAAAGUGACGGUACCUGCAGAAAAAGCACCGGCUAACUACGUGCCAGCAGCCGCCGUAA
rnacentral:rRNA from 1 species